rnacentral:rRNA from 1 species
GAUGAACGCUGGCGGCGUGCCUAAUACAUGCAAGUCGAGCGAACGGACGAGAAGCUUGCUUCUCUGAUGUUAGCGGCGGACGGGUGAGUAACACGUGGAUAACCUACCUAUAAGACUGGGAUAACUUCGGGAAACCGGAGCUAAUACCGGAUGAUAUUUUGAACCUCAUGGUUCAAAAGUGAAAGACGGUCUUGCUGUCACUUAUAGCUGGAUCCGCGCUGCAUUAGCUAGUUGGUAAGGUAACGGCUUACCAAGGCAACGAUGCAUAGCCGACCUGAAAGGGUGAUCGGCCACACUGGAACUGAGACACGGUCCAGACUCCUACGGGAGGCAGCAGUAGGGAAUCUUCCGCAAGGGGCGAAAGCCUGACGGAGCAACGCCGCGUGAGUGAUGAAGGUCUUCGGAUCGUAAAACUCUGUUAUUAGGGAAGAACAUAUGUGUAAUUAACUGUGCACAUCUUGACGGUACCGAAUCAGAAAGCCACGGCUAACUACGUG